rnacentral:rRNA from 1 species
GACGAACGCUGGCGGCGUGCUUAACACAUGCAAGUCGAACGGAAAGGCCCUGCUUUGGUUGUGUGCUCGAGUGGCGAACGGGUGAGUAACACGUGAGUAACCUGCCCUUGACUUUGGGAUAACUUCUGGAAACGAGGGCUAAUACCGCAUAGGAGCUCAUGCUGCAUGAUGGUGGUUGAAAAGUUUCGACGGGUGGGCAUGUACGCGCGGCUUAUUUGCAUUUUGGUGUGGUAGUGGCUAACCAAGGCUUUGGCGGGUAGCCGCACUGGGAGGGUGACAGGCCACAGUGGGACAGAGAAACGAGCCAGACUGCUACGGGAGGAAGCGGUGGAGAAUAUUGCAAGAUAGGCGGCAGCCGGAUGCAGCAACGCCGCGUGCGGGAUGACGGCCUUCGGGUUGUAAACCGCUUGCGCCUGUGACGAAGCGUGAGUGACGGUAAUGGGUAAAGAAGCAACGGCUAACUACGUG